GACGAACGCUGGCGGCGUGCCUAAUACAUGCAAAUCGAACGAGAGCGCCCGGUGCUUGCACUGGUCAAUCUAGUGGCGAACGGGUGAGUAACACGUGGGUAACCUGCCCAUCAGAGGGGGAUAACAUCCGGAAACGGAUGCUAAAACCGCAUAGGUCUUCGAACCGCAUGGUUUGAAGAGGAAAAGAGGCGCAAGCUUCUGCUGAUGGAUGGACCCGCGGUGCAUUAGCUAGUUGGUGAGGUAACGGCUCACCAAGGCCGUGAUGCAUAGCCGACCUGAGAGGGUGAUCGGCCACAUUGGGACUGAGACACGGCCCAAACUCCUACGGGAGGCAGCAGUAGGGAAUCUUCCGCAAUGGACGCAAGUCUGACGGAGCAACGCCGCGUGAGUGAAGAAGGUUUUCGGAUCGUAAAACUCUGUUGUUAGAGAAGAACAAGUGCUAGAGUAACUGUUAGCGCCUUGACGGUAUCUAACCAGAAAGCCACGGCUAACUACGUG
rnacentral:rRNA from 1 species